rnacentral:rRNA from 1 species
UACGGAGGGUGCAAGCGUUAUCCGGAUUCACUGGGUUUAAAGGGUGCGUAGGAGGGCAGGUAAGUCAGUGGUGAAAUCUCCAAGCUUAACUUGGAACUGCCGUUGAUACUAUCUGUCUUGAAUACCGUGGAGGUGAGCGGAAUAUGUCAUGUAGCGGUGAAAUGCUUAGAUAUGACAUAGAACACCAAUUGCGAAGGCAGCUCGCUACACGAAUAUUGACUCUGAGGCACGAAAGCGUGGGGAUCAAACAGGAUUAGAAACC